UACGUAGGCAGCAAGCGUUGUUCGGAGUUACUGGGCGUAAAGAGUGUGUAGGCGGUUCUCUAAGUUCGGUGUGAAAUCCUGGGGCUCAACCCUGGAACUGCAUUGGAUACUUCCUUGCUAGAGUACUGGAGAGGAAACUGGAAUUUACGGUGUAGCAGUGAAAUGCGUAGAGAUCGUAAGGAAGACCAGUGGCGAAGGCGGGUCUCUGGACAGUUCCUGACGCUGAGGCACGAAGGCCAGGGGAGCAAACGGG
rnacentral:rRNA from 1 species